rnacentral:rRNA from 1 species
GACGUAGGGCGCGAGCGUUGUCCGGAUUUAUUGGGCGUAAAGAGCUCGUAGGCGGCUUGUCGCGUCGACCGUGAAAACUCGCAGCUCAACUGCGAGCCUGCGGUCGAUACGGGCAGGCUAGAGUUCGGUAGGGGAGACUGGAAUUCCUGGUGUAGCGGUGAAAUGCGCAGAUAUCGGGAGGAACACCGGUGGCGAAGGCGGUUCUCUGGGCCUGUACUGACGCUGAGGAGCGAAAGCGUGGGGAGCGAACAGG